rnacentral:lncRNA from 1 species
AUGAGGGGGGAAGGGGGGGAGGAAUUGCAUUUGCCUAAGGGGGUGCACGAAAUUGGUGGUGCAAAGGGGCAAAAGGGGGUGAAAUUGCUCGUGCAAAGGGGGGGGUGCACAAGGGGCAAAAUUGGGCUAUUACAGCGAUUUUUUCCACGCGGACCUGGGGCUUUUUUGCGGUUGCCGGGCGGGACUGGCUGGGCUGGCGGGAAAGACACGAUCUGCAUGAGAAAAGGGGUGGAAAUGCCCCCAAAAAGAAAAAGCAAGGAAGAAGCAUCCCCCAAACAAGCAAAAAAAGUGAUGGGUGGGAAAAGGGCUAUUGCAAAAGCGCCGAUUUCCCCUUGUUUUGCCCCAUCCCGUUGCACCGGCAGCGCCCGCGCGCGGAUUGAUUUAUUUUUGGGUCCCAAAGGGGAUGAUUUGGCUUUUUCUUGCGGGCGGGCCACCGGAUUUUAUAUAUAUAUAUAUUUAAUGAAUUUAUUUUGCUGCAAAAUAGCCGGGAAGGGGGUGGAAAGGGGCUUUUUUUGGUGCAAGGGGCGGCGGUUUUGGAGCACCGUGCUUGUGCUGGUAGCAUCGACGCCUGGGGCCGAGGCACCGCCGUCACCGUGUCCUCAGGUGAGACCCUUUUCCCGGCACUUUCGGGGCGAGAAAUUGGGGGCGAUUUCGGCGUUCGGGGGGGCGCAGGUGGGGACGAAACGGCCCCCGAAAAGACAUCGCCGGCGGCGGGGGGGGGGCCAAAACGGCCCAAAUCGGCCGUCGGGAGGGCCGAAAAUGUCCAUUUUCAGUCUUUUUCUUCAUUUUUUCCCCCCCUUUGGGGGGGAAAAAUUGACAUUUGGGGGCCGAAAAUGUCCAUUUUCUCCUUCAUUUUUUCCCCCCUUCGCGGGGGAAAAAAAGAAAAAUGGACAUUUGGGGGCUGAAAAUGUCCGUUUUCGGUCUUUUUCUUCAUUCCACCCCCCUUCACGGGGGGGAGAAAAUGGACAUUUUCGGCCCCCAAAUGUCCAUUUUUCUUCAUUUUUUCCCCCCUUGGCGGGGGAAAAAUGA